rnacentral:rRNA from 1 species
GUUUGAUCCUGGCUCAGGAUGAACGCUAGCUACAGGCUUAACACAUGCAAGUCGAGGGGCAGCAUGAUUGAAGCUUGCUUCAAUUGAUGGCGACCGGCGCACGGGUGAGUAACACGUAUCCAACCUUCCGUACACUCAGGGAUAGCCUUUCGAAAGAAAGAUUAAUACCUGAUGGUAUCUUAAGCACACAUGUAAUUAAGAUUAAAGAUUUAUCGGUGUACGAUGGGGAUGCGUUCCAUUAGGUAGUAGGCGGGGUAACGGCCCACCUAGCCUACGAUGGAUAGGGGUUCUGAGAGGAAGGUCCCCCACAUUGGAACUGAGACACGGUCCAAACUCCUACGGGAGGCAGCAGUGAGGAAUAUUGGUCAAUGGACGAGAGUCUGAACCAGCCAAGUAGCGUGAAGGAUGAAGGUCCUACGGAUUGUAAACUUCUUUUAUAAGGGAAUAAAACCUCCCACGUGUGGGAGCUUGUAUGUACCUUAUGAAUAAGCAUCGGCUAACUCCGUGCCAGCAGCCGCGGUAAUACGGAGGAUGCGAGCGUUAUCCGGAUUUAUUGGGUUUAAAGGGAGCGCAGACGGGUCGUUAAGUCAGCUGUGAAAGUUUGGGGCUCAACCUUAAAAUUGCAGUUGAUACUGGCGUCCUUGAGUGCGGUUGAGGUGUGCGGAAUUCGUGGUGUAGCGGUGAAAUGCUUAGAUAUCACGAAGAACUCCGAUUGCGAAGGCAGCACACUAAGCCGUAACUGACGUUCAUGCUCGAAAGUGUGGGUAUCAAACAGGAUUAGAUACCCUGGUAGUCCACACGGUAAACGAUGGAUACUCGCUGUUGGCGAUAUACGGUCAGCGGCUUAGCGAAAGCGUUAAGUAUCCCACCUGGGGAGUACGCCGGCAACGGUGAAACUCAAAGGAAUUGACGGGGGCCCGCACAAGCGGAGGAACAUGUGGUUUAAUUCGAUGAUACGCGAGGAACCUUACCCGGGCUUAAAUUGCAAAGGAAUAAUCUGGAAACAGAUUAGUCUUCGGACCUUUGUGAAGGUGCUGCAUGGUUGUCGUCAGCUCGUGCCGUGAGGUGUCGGCU